rnacentral:rRNA from 1 species
GUCUUUUUGGUAUUUAAUAUAAAGUCUGACCUGCCCACUGAAUAUAGUUUGAAGGGCCGCAGUAUUUUGACUGUGCAAAGGUAGCAUAAUCAUUAGUCUUUUAAUUGAAGGCUGGUAUGAAUGGUUGGAUGAGAUACAAGCUGUGUCAUAAAAAUUAAUAUUUGAAUUUACCUUUUUAGUCAAAAGGCUAAAAUAAUCUUAAAAGACGAGAAGACCCCAUAGAGCUUUAUAUAAUUAAUAUUUAAGUUAUUAAGAUUUUUAAAAUUUAAUUAUUAAAUUAUAUUUUGUUGGGGUGACAAUAAAAUUUAUAAAACUUUUAUUUUUAUUUAACAUUAAUUUAUGAUUAAAUGAUCCAGUUUUAUUGAUUAUAAAUUUAAGUUACCUUGGGGAUAACAGCGUAAUUUUUUUUGAGAGUUCUUAUCGACAAAAAAGAUUGCGACCUCGAUGUUGGAUUAAGAGUAAUUUUGGGUGUAGAAGUUCAAAGUUUAAGUCUGUUCGACUUUUAAAUUCUUACAU